rnacentral:rRNA from 1 species
GACGAACGCUGGCGGCGUGCUUAACACAUGCAAGUCGAACGGAAAGGCCCUGCUUUUGUGGGGUGCUCGAGUGGCGAACGGGUGAGUAACACGUGAGUAACCUGCCCUUGACUUUGGGAUAACUUCAGGAAACUGGGGCUAAUACCGGAUAGGAGCUCCUGCUGCAUGGUGGGGGUUGGAAAGUUUCGGCGGUUGGGGAUGGACUCGCGGCUUAUCAGCUUGUUGGUGGGGUAGUGGCUUACCAAGGCUUUGACGGGUAGCCGGCCUGAGAGGGUGACCGGCCACAUGGGGACUGAGAGACGGCGCAGACUCCUACGGGAGGCAGCAGUGGGGAAUAUUGCACAAUGGGCGGAAGCCUGAUGCAGCAACGCCGCGUGCGGGAUGACGGCCUUCGGGUUGUAAACCGCUUUCGCCUGUGACGAAGCGUGAGUGACGGUAAUGGGUAAAGAAGCACCGGCUAACUACGUG